rnacentral:rRNA from 1 species
GACAAACGCUGGCGGCGUGCUUAACACAUGCAAGUCGAACGGAAAGGCCCUGCUUUUGUGGGGUGCUCGAGUGGCGAACGGGUGAGUAACACGUGAGUAACCUGCCCUUGACUUUGGGAUAACUUCAGGAAACUGGGGCUAAUACCGGAUAGGAGCUCCUGCUGCAUGGUGGGGGUUGGAAAAUUUCGGCGGUUGGGGAUGGACUCGCGGCUUAUCAGCUUGUUGGUGGGGUAGUGGCUUACCAAGGCUUUGACGGGUAGCCGGCCUGAGAGGGUGACCGGCCACAUUGGGACUGAGAUACGGCCCAGACUCCUACGGGAGGCAGCAGUGGGGAAUAUUGCACAAUGGGCGGAAGCCUGAUGCAGCAACGCCGCGUGCGGGAUGACGGCCUUCGGGUUGUAAACCGCUUUCGCCUGUGACGAAGCGUGAGUGACGGUAAUGGGUAAAGAAGCACCGGCUAACUACGUG